rnacentral:misc_RNA from 1 species
GUGAGUCAUCGAAUCUUUGAACGCAAAUUGCACUUUCUGGUAUUCCGGAGAGUAUGCCUGUUUGAGGGUCAGUGUAAUAAAUAAAUCGUGGUUGUUACCACUUUUCGUGGUGACGCUUCGGAAUUGAGUCGUCUUACCUUCGGUUAAGUGACUUAAAAUUUUUUCAUACGAUUUCGAAACGUAUUUAAUGUAUUAUGUACGUUUACGAAUAUCGAAUGCUUUAUUAGGUGCGGUCAUUUUCAUGAAUUCGCGUCUAUAAUUUUUUUUUUUGACCUCAAAUCAGGUAAGAAUACCCGCUGA